rnacentral:misc_RNA from 1 species
UCAUUUUUCUUUCCCUUCCUUUGCCCCUCUACACGGUUUAGUAGGGCUAUGCACGGUUCCUAGGGGAACCGAACCGAACCGAACCGAAAAAAUCGAAAACUGAAUUUUUAAGAAAAAUGAAAACUAAACUGAACCGAUUAUAUCAUAUACACUGAAUCGAAAUAAACAGAAAUAAUUCGGUUCGGAAAAUUGGUUUUCUCAGUAUACAAUUUCAUAUUCACCAUCACAAACACAAAUACAAUAAUUUAUUGAUUUCUUCUCAAAUUUACAAUUUCACAAUGCAAUCAACAAACAAAUUAAAUCUAAACAACUGUACACAUUUUUAAUUUCACAAAUUUCAACAAAUGACACAACUGUACAGAUUUAGAUUUACACUUUCACAAUUCAAUCAACAAGCAAAUUGAAUCUAAACAAUAAAGUACAAAUCAAAUAUCAAAUUCAAGUCAACAAACCUUAACAAGCAUCACUGCUAUGGAGGACUGCCUGCUAUUAGGGCUUGGAUUUGACACCUAUGGGGCAAGGUCACGAUGGAGGCAUGCAGGCUGUUAAGGGCGGCAUGGCUGCAUGUGAGGGGCAAGCGAAGUAGACAUGGGCAAGAUAGGCAGAUGAGGUCAACGGUCGCGUGGAAGAAGAAGAAGAGGAAGAAGA